AUACUUUUCUCGGUCUUUUGGCUAAGAUCAAAUUUAGUGUCUGACCUUAUCAAUUUAAUAUCUGAUAUAUGGACUAUUGGCUCGCACGAGGCACGAUACUCUAUUUUUAAAUUAGAAAGUCUCAUUAAAAUAGCUUAUCUGAGUUUUCGCGAGUGAUCCAUGCGUUGCAUUACAUUAUUGCACGGACAUGGCUCAUUCCCA